rnacentral:ribozyme from 1 species
CGUAUUCGAUUAAAAAUUAUUCCGUCUCGACACUCCACACUCCUUCAAUCCAGCGUCAUCCAACAGAUCAUUCUCGCCAUCACUCCAAAGACUUCUCGAACAUUGAGCAGGGAGCAGUGAGAGUCGCAACAACAAAAAAUCAAAGUGGAGUAAUCGAGUCAUCACCAUUGCGCGGAGAGAGUGAGACAGCGGUGAUUAUCCGGAGUCAAGACCAAGCACCCUAACAACCGAAAAACCCAACCAUUCUACGUAAUCUUGAUUACGAGUGAAU